rnacentral:rRNA from 1 species
UACGGAGGAUCCAAGCGUUAUCCGGAUUCAUUGGGUUUAAAGGGUGCGUAGGCGGAACGAUAAGUCAGUGGUGAAAGCUUGCAGCUUAACUGUAAAAUUGCCAUUGAAACUGAAAGUCUCGAGUAUGGUUGAGGUGACUGGAAUAUAUCAUGUAGCGGUGAAAUGCUUAGAUAUGAUAUAGAACACCAAUUGCGAAGGCAGGUCACUAAACCAUAACUGACGCUGAGGCUCGAAAGCGUGGGGAUCAAACAGG